AUACGUAGGGUGCAAGCGUUAAUCGGAAUUACUGGGCGUAAAGCGUGCGCAGGCGGUUUUGUAAGUCAGAGGUGCAAUCCCCGGGCUCAACCUGGGAACUGCCUUUGUGACUGCAAGGCUAGAGUACGGCAGAGGGGGAUGGAAUUCGGGGUGUAGCAGUGAAAUGCGUAGAUAUGCGGAGGAACACCGAUGGCGAAGGCAAUCCCCUGGGCCUGUACUGACGCUCAUGCACGAAAGCGUGGGGAGCAAACAGGAUUAGAUACCCUGAUAGUCCACGCCCUAAACGAUGUCAACUGGUUGUUGGGUCUUCAUUGACUCAGUAACGAAGCUAACGCGUGAAGUUGACCGCCUGGGGAGUACGGCCGCAAGGUUGAAACUCAAAUGAAUUGACGGGG
rnacentral:rRNA from 1 species